rnacentral:lncRNA from 1 species
UCAAUCAAAGUCAUAUUUAAACACACACUUUUGAGAUUUUUUCAAGGUUGUAACAUGACUUAUGUCAGGGUAGGAUAAAUUUUGGAUAUUAAGAUUAAACUUUUGGACUUAGGUACCUAGUUUUCCUUAUGUUAUCUGAUUCAUAUCAUAUCAAUCUUUACUUGGUCAUUCGGUACUAGAGAUUUCAUUUUAUUGGCCAUAUUCAUCAUUCUUUUCUUUCUUGUAUUUUUUCAUAAUUUUUUAGAAGUCCUUUUUUACUUCAUUUUUUUCUUUAUUUUUUAUUUUGACCAAUUUCUCUAGUAUCCCAACCCCAAAGUUAAACAUUGCUAAUUUUGAAGAGUAACCCCACACUUAUUCUGUUAUAUCAGACAAGGAAAAUAUUUUUUUCUACAUAACUCCGGAGAAGGUGGAAAGAAUUAAUCUUUCAAGUCAAAUGGCUAUAUGAUAGACUAUGUCACCG